rnacentral:lncRNA from 1 species
AAACAUCCUAAACAAGAACUUUGCAUAUAGGUACAAGAUUAGCCUAACAUGAGUUGUACGAUUAGUUAUUAGAGAAAGAGAAUUGAAUGAUUUCAUUUAAUUACCAUAUAGUGUCAAGCAUAUGCUUAACAUUGGCGAAAGGAAUUGAUUAACUCACAAAUACAUUGAUAGUUCAGGUUCUUACACGUAAUGAAGACAACAAAACCUUUGAGCUAAGCAUCUGUAAAGGCCAAAACAGCCUAAACAAGAACUAUGCACAUAGGUACAAGUUUGGCACGACGUGAGUUGUACGGUUAGUUAUUGGAGAAAGAGAAUAGAAUGAUUUCAUUUAAUUACCAUAUAGUGUCUACUGUCGAGCAUAAAAUGCUAAACACUGGCGAAAGGAAUUGAUCAACUCAAAGACACAUGUAUAGUUCAGGUUCUUACACUUACCGAAGACGACAAAACCUUUGAGCUAAGCAUCUGUAAGGGCCAAAACAGCCUAAACAAGAACUUUGCACAUAGGUACAAGUUUGGCACGACGUGAGUUGUACGGUUAGUUAUUACAGAAAGAGAAUAGAAUGAUUUCAUUUAAUUACCAUAUAGUGUCAAGCAUAAAUGCUUAACAUUUGUGAAAGGGAUAGAUCAACUCAC